rnacentral:rRNA from 1 species
CCCCUAGAUGUUCUGGGCCGCACGUGCGCUACACUGAACAGUUCAACAAGUCUUAACCUUGGCCGAUAGGUCUGGGUAAUCUUUGAACGCUGUUCGUGAUUGGGAUAGACCUUUGCAAUUAUGGGUCUUCAACGAGGAAUUCCUAGUAAACGCAAGUCAUCAGCUUGCAUUGAUUACGUCCCUGCCCUUUGUACACACCGCCCGUCGCACCUACCGAUUGAAUGGUCCGGUGAAAUCUCGGGACGGCGGCUCGGUCGCUUGCGUCCGACUGCUGAAACUUGAUUAAACCAUAUCAUUUAGAGGAAGGUGAAGUCGUAACA